CUUGGUCAUUUAGAGGAAGUAAAAGUCGUAACAAGGUUUCCGUAGGUGAACCUGCGGAAGGAUCAUUAAUGAAACUUGGUUGAAGUUCUUGUAGCUGGCGAAAGCAUGUGCUCGCUUCUUCCUUAAUCCAUUUCAACACCUGUGCACUCUCGGAGGGGAUCUUUGAUUAGAACCCCUUCUGUAUAACAAACUCUGAUAACUUUGAAUGUUCAUUUGGCCGAAAGGCUAUAAUAUUAUAACAACUUUUAACAACGGAUCUCUUGGCUCUCGCAUCGAUGAAGAACGCAGCGAAAUGCGAUAAGUAAUGUGAAUUGCAGAAUUCAGUGAAUCAUCGAAUCUUUGAACGCACCUUGCGCUCUCUGGUAUUCCGGAGAGCACGCCUGUUCGAGUGUCAUGAAACUCUCAAGCAAGAAUUAAGCUUUAUUGCUUGAUUCUUGAUUGGAUUUGGACUCUUGCCGCGUUAUUGCGGCUGGUCUUAAAAGUAUUAGCUGGUCUGUAAGAAAUCUUUGGGUUUGACUUGGCGUAAUAAUCUUAUUCGCUGAGGACACUUCGGUGGCCUAAUUUCUUUACUGGACUGCUUCUAAUCGUCUCCUUUGUGAGACAACUUUCAUUCAAUCUGACCUCGAAUCAGGUGGGACUACCCGCUGAACUUAAGCAUAUCAAUAAGCGGAGGAAAAGAAACUAACAAGGAUUCCCCUAGUAACGGCGAGUGAAGCGGGAUGAGCUCAAAUUUAAAAUCUGGUGGUCUUUGGCCAUCCGAGUUGUAAUCUAGAGAAGUGUUUUCCGUGCUGGACCGUGUACAAGUUUCCUGGAACGGAACGUCAUAGAGGGUGAGAAUCCCGUCCUUGACACGGACUACCAGUGCUUUGUGAUACACUCUCAACGAGUCGAGUUGUUUGGGAUUGCAGCUCAAAAUGGGAGGUAAAUUCCUUCUAAAGCUAAAUAUUGGCGAGAGACCGAUAGCGAACAAGUACCGUGAGGGAAAGAUGAAAAGCACUUUGGAAAGAGAGUUAAACAGUACGUGAAAUUGUUAAAAGGGAAACGCUUGAAGU
rnacentral:rRNA from 1 species